GGUGGCACAAACAAGAUUUCGCACUGAGCGGAGCUUAGGUGAUGAAUCCCGCUGAUGGCCGGAGAGGGAGACAGGGGACCGAUUCAUGACAGUUUGUUUAUGCCUGUCAGCCACACUCAGCUGGAAGCCCUCCAUUAAUGUGCUGUGGAAUAACACAAGAGAACCCUCCCCAGAGUACCGACUGCCUCUGCUCACUUCCGCUCCUGUCUUCACCAGCUGUUCUUCAUCAUCAUCAGCAAACUGUUUAUAUUCCUGUUCGCCACUCAGUUCCAUCCGAAGUCUUGAAUCAUUUUCCUUAACAUUCAGUCUAAGCAUUGUUCUGUUUAUUGCCUCUCCGUGUUUUGAGCUUUGCCUGUUGUUCUCGCCCUCCUGCCUCGCUCCAGUUUGACCUCUAUACCUGGUUCCUGUGUACGAUUCUGGCUUGUUCUUACAAGCUCGCUAACUCCAUUAA